rnacentral:tRNA from 1 species
GGUCCUGUGGAGCAGAGGCAGACUCACCGCCCGUCCAAGGCGGAUACGCCGGUUCGAAUCCGGUCAGGACCAC